rnacentral:rRNA from 1 species
AACGUAGGGGGCGAGCGUUAUCCGGAAUUACUGGGCGUAAAGCGUGUGCAGGCGGGCUAGCAAGUGGGGUAUGAAAGCUCCCGGCUCAACCGGGAAGGGUUAUGCCAGACUGCUAGUCUUGAGUGCGAGAGAGGAGAGUGGAAUUCCUGGUGUAGCGGUGAAAUGCGUAGAUAUCAGGAGGAACACCUGAGGCGAAAGCGGCUCUCUGGACCACAACUGACGCUGAGGCGCGAAAGCUAGGGGAGCAAACAGG